rnacentral:rRNA from 1 species
ACAUGCCUACAAAAUAUCAUUAAUGCACUAGAUCCCAUUAUAACUUUGCAGUUAAGCAUGCUCAGGCUAGAGUAAUACUGGGAUGGGUGAUCACCCAGGAAGUCCUUGUGUUUUACAUGCC